GUAGGGUGCAAGCGUUAAUCGGAAUUACUGGGCGUAAAGCGUGCGCAGGCGGUUUUGUAAGUCUGACGUGAAAGCCCCCGGGGCUCAACCUGGGAAUUGCGUUGGAGACUGCAAGGCUUGAAUCUGGCAGAGGGGGUAGAAUUCCACGUGUAGCAGUGAAAUGCGUAGAGAUGUGGAGGAACACCGAUGGCGAAGGCAGCCCCCUGGGUCAAGAUUGACGCUCAUGCACGAAAGCGUGGGGAGCAAACAGGAUUAGAUACCCUGGUAGUCCACGCCCUAAACGAUGUCUACUAGUUGUCGGGUCUUAAUUGACUUGGUAACGCAGCUAACGCGUGAAGUAGACCGCCUGGGGAGUACGGUCGCAAGAUUA
rnacentral:rRNA from 1 species